CAAUGGCCCAGUAACCAGUGUAGAUCCUGUCUUUUGUAAUCAGCAGCUACAUCUG
rnacentral:pre_miRNA from 17 species